AACGCACCUUGCGCUCCUUGGUAUUCCGAGGAGCAUGCCUGUUUGAGUGUCAUGAAACUCUCAACCUUCAACUUUUUUAUUAAGGCUGAAGGCUUGGACUUGAGCGUUGCUGGUUUUUACUAACCGGCUCGCUUGAAAUGAAUUAGCAGAUCCUUUUUGUAAUCGGUUCCACUCGACGUGAUAAGUAUUUCGCCGAGGACAUACGAAAGUAUGGCCGAGAUAAAGAAAGUCUUUAGAUCCGCUUCUAACUCUUAGAUAGAGCUUGCUCUACUAAACCCCAUUUUAUGAUCUGGCCUCAAAUCAGGUAGGACUACCCGCUGAACUUAA
rnacentral:misc_RNA from 1 species